GAUGAAGAACGUAGUGAAAUGCGAUAAGUAAUGUGAAUUGCAGAAUUCAGUGAAUCAUCGAAUCUUUGAACGCACCUUGCACCCUUUGGUAUUCCGAAGGGUAUGCUCGUUUGAGUGUCAUUGUACUCUCACACUUCUAAUUCCUUUCGGGAUUGGGAGCGGUGGACUUGGGUGUUGCUGCUUUAGUUGUGGCUCACCUCAAAUAAGUUAGUGCAACUCUUGGUUGGACAUAGUACGGCGUGAUAAGUGUCUUCGCCGGUGCCUCGCAAAGAGGGUGGCCGAUCGGGAUGUUGUGCUCCAAACUGUCUUCGGACAAUCUCUGACAACUUGACCUCAAAUCGAGUAAGACUACCCGCUGAACUUAAGCAUAUCAAUAAGCGGAGGA
rnacentral:misc_RNA from 1 species